AGAAGAAACUCUCCCACCGGCGCAAGUCCAUUCCGUGCAGCUCUCGGCGGACUCCGAAUCAGCCAGAAGGCCGCAAAAAAUGAUCAUUCCUCCAAUCAUCGCUUUUAUUCCUCCGCGGACCCGCUGCCUUAGCGACAAGCGAAGCGAAAUGUUAAAAAGUUAUAUUGAUUUACUGAAGCCCAUCUAAACGAUAUUAAACUAACCAAAAUAUCUUUGCCAUGGAAAGCUGAAAAAAUUUGACACGCCGUUAAAACAGGUCAACGAUCCGAGUUUAUUGGCUGCCCGUCUUAACCACGAGGUCAAUUCUUUGGCGGCUUACGGUUUAGAAGACUGAAGGCAUUAAAAAAAGGGGACUUACGAUCAUUUUUCACACUGAACGACCGUUGUAAUUCCCCACGGUCACGGGAUCCAAACUCAAAGACGCUUGGCGACUGACUCGUAUUUAUGACGGAGCUGACGCGAUCCCAUUUUGCGACCUUUCGGCAACCAAAGACCCAACGGGGAAGGCCGGAAUCGGUUAACAAAUUGUGUUGCUGGCUUAACGGGGAUUCGCUUCCCAAAAGUGGCAAGGAAGAUCGUCAAAGGAAGCGAAACUCGCUUAGCGACCGUCUCGUUAAGCAACAGGAAUUUGGGGUUCAAUUGUGGUCGUAAGCCAAGUCCUAUCUAUAUUUGUGCAUCGGUUUGUAAAGGUUUUAUAAAAGUAAUGGAAAUAAGGCUCA